GUCACCUUAGUAGUUCGAUUCUUCGAAAUAUAUGUGAAAACUCUCUUAAAAAUUCUCUCCCCGGCACCUUCCUGUUAGCAAUUCUCCAGCCAUAUAUAUAUAUACUCCGUUUAAAAUGAACUUGUGAAGAGAAAAAUAUUCUGCAAGGCUUCCUUCGAACCUUAUAGAGAACGGCAACAGAACGAAAUUUCAUUGAAGUAAACAGCCGGCAAAUCGGCAAUUAACAAGCUGCCAUCUUUAAAUUGCAUAAUGAGAUCGCAUGCGAUGACGUCAUACGUUUUGACCGCAUGAUACGCGACAUAGA
rnacentral:lncRNA from 1 species